CUUAAGGUACCAUCUUUAUCCUGUAUAUACUUACUAAUGACUAUCAAGAUCUUUCAAUUAUUCAAGAACUUCAAUAAUUUAGAAUUUCGUACACGUAUCAACGGCUUAUGCUAAUUGUAUUCAUAAUCCUAUUAAAGAGAUAUUUUAUGAUCCACCCAUGGAUGGGGACAAGUUGAUUGAUCUGAUGAAUUCUUUCGAUGAAAAAUAGCUCAACGCCAUUACACCGCGAUUACUUGGAAUAUGCCCGAAUACAUACGUGUACACGAAAUCAGCCGCUGAAGAUAUGAUACGGAAGCAUACUAAAUCGAUACCGAUUGAAAUCUUUCGUCCUGCAAUUGCAAUAUCAACGUAUCGAGAACCUUUUCCGGGAUGGAUCGACAACAUGAACGGACCAGUAGGAAUUAUUGCAGGCAUUUUAAUGGGAUUAAUGAGAACUCAUUAUUGUGAUGGGUCGUUAAAAAUAAACUUGGUA